rnacentral:SRP_RNA from 1 species
GGGAUGUUAUCAAAUUAUUCAUAAUAAUUUUUAAAAAAUCGGUCAGGUCUGGAAAGAAGCAGCCGUAAUAAAAACUACGAUGGGUAUUUUUGUUUAGCAUCCCGAUA